rnacentral:rRNA from 1 species
GAUGAACGCUGGCGGCGUGCCUAAUACAUGCAAGUCGAGCGAACAGAUGAGGAGCUUGCUCCUCUGACGUUAGCGGCGGACGGGUGAGUAACACGUGGAUAACCUACCUAUAAGACUGGGAUAACUUCGGGAAACCGGAGCUAAUACCGGAUAAUAUAUUGAACCGCAUGGUUCAAUAGUGAAAGACGGUUUUGCUGUUACUUAUACAUGGAUCCGCGCCGCAUUAGCUAGUUGGGAGGGUAACGGCUUACCAAGGCAACGAUGCGGAGCCGACCUGAGAGGGGGAUCGGCCACACUAGAACUGAAACACGGUCCAGACUCCUACGGGAGGCAGCAGUAGGGAAUCUUCCGCAAUGGGCGAAAGCCUGACGGAACAACGCCGCGUGAGUGAUGAAGGUCUUCGGAUCGUAAAACUCUGUUAUUAGUGAAGAACAAAUGUGUAAGUAACUAUGCACGUCUUGACGGUACCUAAUCAGAAAGCCACGGCUAACUACGUG